AGUGAACGCUGGCGGUAGGCCUAACACAUGCAAGUCGAACGGCAGCACAGUAAGAGCUUGCUCUUACGGGUGGCGAGUGGCGGACGGGUGAGGAAUACAUCGGAAUCUACUUUUUCGUGGGGGAUAACGUAGGGAAACUUACGCUAAUACCGCAUACGACCUACGGGUGAAAGCAGGGGAUCUUCGGACCUUGCGCGAUUGAAUGAGCCGAUGUCGGAUUAGCUAGUUGGCGGGGUAAAGGCCCACCAAGGCGACGAUCCGUAGCUGAUCUGAGAGGAUGAUCGGCCACACUGGAACUGAGACACGGUCCAGACUCCUACGGGAGGCAGCAGUGGGGAAUAUUGGGCAAUGGGCGAAAGCCUGAUCCAGCCAUACCGCGUGGGUGAAGAAGGCCUUCGGGUUGUAAAGCCCUUUUGUUGGGAAAGAAAAGCAGCAGGUUAAUCCCCCGCUGUUCUGACGGUACCCAAAGAAUAAGCACCGGCUAACUUCGUG
rnacentral:rRNA from 1 species